rnacentral:sRNA from 1 species
AGAUUUGAACCCAGGACCCAAGGUUUGGAAGCCAAGCACUUAACCGCUUUUGAUUGACAAGCACUCGUCAAUGAUGAUCUGCAAGAAAAAAAUUCAAACUGAUAGAAAAGUAUCGACUGACCUAGCAGACUUAUCAAGUCUUGGGGAUGAGAAUCAAGAUACA